GGACCCCCCAAAAGGCAACAGCCCCCCCGGGACCCGGCAGGAGGGUCCUUCAGGGCCCCCCCCGCUCCCCCCCCAGGCCACAGGUCACGUACGGGGUCAGAGGUCGGGAGGGGGGGGCCGCCAGCCCGGCACCACGGACCCGCCAUGGGGGGGUGCGGGAAGGGGGAGUGGGAAAAGGCGCGAACGCCGUAAAGCCCGGAAGUCGCGUGGCCGCCGGGGGGAAGUGGCGUCAAGGCGGCGGGUUGCCGUGACAACCGCUGGUGGCGGCGGCGCGAGGCCGUUACCGUGAAAACCGGGGGGGUGGGGGAGUGGUGACUCCGGGCCCGAACCCCGGGACCUCAGGGAGUCCCGGAGGGGAUGGGGGGGGACACCGCGACGGACCCCCAGGACCCCACGGAGCCCGUGGCGGGGGACAGGGAACACCGGGCCCGAGCCCUGCGGGGGGGGGACGGGGACAGUGGGCCCGAGCCCCGGGACCCCGCAGGGCCCGGGAGGGGAGGGGGCGGGGAGAGCACCGCGACGGAGCCCAGGAGGGUUCGGCCCCACACCCACGUCCCGUCCCACACGUUGGGGGGGCUCGUGGGUGGCCGAGGGUUGGGGGCCACCGGCAGCACCCCUGCUCCCGCGCCCCGGGGGUCCCGGGGUUGAGGCCAGGCUCCCCACCCCCUCCCCGGCCCCAUCUCCCCUUCCUGCCGCGGGGGCGGAGGUGUGAGGGAGGAAGGGGUUUGGCGAGCCGGCGUCGCUCUGUUUUAAGGGCUUUUUGGGGUUUCGGUGGCGCUGAGUGCGCAGCCGUCCCCGCAGCCCGCUCGGAGGGCUAUAAAAGCCGUCAGGGUGGGUCACGCGCUGGCUGUUGUCACCUGCUGUCACCCUCUCGAGUGGGCUCGCCAUGGCUGCCGCCUUCCUCUUGGUGCUGGUGGCGGUGGGAGUGCAGGCCGCGGUCCCCGAGCCCUGCCAGGGUGGCCCCGCGUACUGGUGCCAGGAUGUGGCCACUGCCACCCAGUGCCACAGGGAGCAGGACUGCCGCGACCUCUGGGACAGCCUGGACCUGGUAA
rnacentral:lncRNA from 1 species